rnacentral:lncRNA from 1 species
AAUAUUUUAAUAUUUUAUUAUUAUUAUUUUUCUCUCUCCAAUCACUACACUCAAAAUUACUUACAAAUCACCCAUCCAAACAAUUUAUUUCGAAAAUAACAAGUUUCACUCAAAUCCCAUCCUAUUUCAAAUCUCCAAUAAUUCAGGAUCUUUUCAAUUUCAAAUCAUCCAUCCAAACGACCCAGAAAUGGUUUCCCAAGUUUGAAAGUUGACAUAACUUCCAGUGAAAAAAACCAUUUACAUAUUUACAAUCGUUUUAGAUUUGAAUUCGGCUUACACCAUGGUUGCAGGCUUGGAGACGCCGCUGACAUUUUGCCAACAACACAAACUCUCCGACCAAAUCCAGAAGCUGAUGACUUGAAUGGAGAUUCUUUGGAAUCUUACCCAACUCCAUCACCCGACUAAACAGUCCAACUAUGGUGUUGUCACUCACGACAUUAAUGACUUCUUGACUGAUGAUCAUGAUUCUAUAAUAGAGAAGUGUUUAUGUUUGUGAUUGUGAAAUGGACGAAAUGAGGGG